rnacentral:rRNA from 1 species
AACGCUGGCGGCGUGCCUAAUACAUGCAAGUCGAACGGCUUUUCUAUGGAAGCUUGCUUCCACUGAGAAGAUAGUGGCGAACGGGUGAGUAACACGUGGGUAACCUGCCCAUAAGAGGGGGGAUAACAUCCGGAAACGGGUGCUAAUACCGCAUAGUUUUCUUGAUCGCAUGAUCGGGAAAGGAAAGACGGCCUUUGUGCUGUCGCUUAUGGAUGGACCCGCGGCGUAUUAGUUAGUUGGUGAGGUAACGGCUCACCAAGACGAUGAUACGUAGCCGACCUGAGAGGGUGAUCGGCCACAUUGGGACUGAGACACGGCCCAAACUCCUACGGGAGGCAGCAGUAGGGAAUCUUCCGCAAUGGACGAAAGUCUGACGGAGCAACGCCGCGUGAGUGAAAGAAGGUUUUCGGAUCGUAAAACUCUGUUGUCAGAGAAGAACAAGUUGGAGAGUAACUGCUCCAGCCUUGACGGUAUCUGACCAGAAAGCCACGGCUAACUACGUGCCAGCCGCGGC